AAUAGAUACCCCGGUAGUCCACGCCGUAAACGAUGAGUGCUAAGUGUUAGAGGGUUUCCGCCCGUUUAGUGCUGCAGCUAACGCAUUAAGCACUCCGCCUGGGGAGUACGGCCGCAAGGCUGAAACUCAAAGGAAUUGACGGGGGCCCGCACAAGCGGUGGAGCAUGUGGUUUAAUUCGAAGCAACGCGAAGAACCUUACCAGGUCUUGACAUCCUCUGCCAACCCUAGAGAUAGGGCGUUCCCCUUCGGGGGACAGAGUGACAGGUGGUGCAUGGUUGUCGUCAGCUCGUGUCGUGAGAUGUUGGGUUAAGUCCCGCAACGAGCGCAACCCUUGAUCUUAGUUGCCAGCAUUCAGUUGGGCACUCUAAGGUGACUGCCGGUGACAAACCGGAGGAAGGUGGGGAUGACGUCAAAUCAUCAUGCCCCUUAUGACCUGGGCUACACACGUGCUACAAUGGAUGGUACAAAGAGCUGCGAACCCGCGAGGGUAAGCCAAUCUCAUAAAGCCAUUCUCAGUUCGGAUUGUAGG
rnacentral:rRNA from 1 species